rnacentral:rRNA from 1 species
UACGUAGGGUGCAAGCGUUAUCCGGAUUUAUUGGGCGUAAAGGGCUCGUAGGCGGUUCGUCGCAUCCGGUGUGAAAGUCCAUCGCUUAACGGUGGAUCCGCGCCGGGUACGGGCGGGCUUGAGUGCGGUAGGGGAGACUGGAAUUCCCGGUGUAACGGUGGAAUGUGUAGAUAUCGGGAAGAACACCAAUGGCGAAGGCAGGUCUCUGGGCCGUUACUGACGCUGAGGAGCGAAAGCGUGGGGAGCGAACAGG